UUAAGCAUAUCAAUAAGCGGAGGAAAAGAAACUAACAAGGAUUCCCCUAGUAACUGCGAGUGAAGYGGGAAAAGCUCAAAUUUGAAAUCUGGCAGUUCUUGACUGUCCGAGUUGUAAUCUAGAGAAGUGUUACCUGUGCUGGACCAUAUACAAGUCUCCUGGAAUGGAGCAUCACAGAGGGUGAGAAUCCCGUCUUUGAUAUGGACUACCAGUGCAUUAUGGUGCGCUCUCAAAGAGUCGAGUUGUUUGGGAAUGCAGCUCAAAAUGGGUGGUAAAUGCCAUCUAAAGCUAAAUAUUGGCGAGAGACCGAUAGCGAACAAGUACCGUGAGGGAAAGAUGAAAAGAACUUUGGAAAGAGAGUUAAACAGUACGUGAAAUUGCUGAAAGGGAAACGCUUGAAGUCAGUCACGUUGGCUGGAAAUCAGCCUUGCUUUUGCUUGGUGUACUUUCUGGUCGACGGGUCAGCAUCAAUUUUGACCAUUGGAUAAAGUCUUUGGGAAUGUGGCAUCUUUGGAUGUGUUAUAGCCCUGAGUCGCAUACAGUGGUUGGGAUUGAGGAACUCAGCACGCCGCAAGGCCAGGUUUCGACCAUGUUCGUGCUUAGGAUGCUGGCAAAAUGGCUUUAAUCGACCCGUCUUGAAACACGGACCAAGGAGUCUAACAUGCCUGCGAGUGUUUGGGUGGAAAACCCAUGCGCACAAUGAAAGUGAAAGUUGAGAUCCCUUUCAGGGGGAGCAUUGACGCCCGGACCAGACCUUCUGUGACGGAUCYGCGGUAGAGCAUGCAUGUUGGGACCCGAAAGAUGGUGAACUAUGCCUGAAUAGGGUGAAGCCAGAGGAAACUCUGGUGGAGGCUCGUAGCGAUUCUGACGUGCAAAUCGAUCGUCAAAUUUGGGUAUAGGGGCGAAAGACUAAUCGAACCAUCUAGUAGCUGGUUCCUGC
rnacentral:rRNA from 1 species